UACAAUACUCAUUGCUAUUUUAAUGGUUUCAUAUGAUUAAAAAAAAUUUUUACAGUUUUAUAUUAACAAUAAAGUACUAUACCAAAAAAACAAUUUUUUUUUUCGAAUAAGUAAUAUUUUGAAUCUGUUUAAGGUAUUAUUAUUGCCUAGAUAUAUACUGUAAUCUUUUUGCACUUAUUAUACAUUUUAGUUUUUACAUAUUUUUGUUUAUAUUUAUUUUACUAAAUAAUUACUAAUAGAUAAAGAAGUAUGCGAAGGAUUUAAUUUCCCAACAACAAAGUACUCCAAAGUAUAUUUUUUGAUUCUGUAUCUCAAUAAUAUCCUGACCUAUCGAAUCGAUAUCUUGGUAAUACACUUACACACAUAAAUCUUUUA